rnacentral:tRNA from 1 species
CGGGGUGCAGCUCAGUGGUAGAGCACUUGCCUAGCAAGCACAGGGCCCUGGGUUCCAUCCCAGCACUGCCA